rnacentral:rRNA from 1 species
UACGGAGGGUGCAAGCGUUGUUCGGAAUUAUUGGGCGUAAAGGGCUCGUAGGCGGUCUGUCACGUCGGGCGUGAAAACUCAGGGCUUAACCCUGAGCCUGCUUCCGAUACGGGCAGACUAGAGGUAUGCAGGGGAGAACGGAAUUCCUGGUGUAGCGGUGAAAUGCGCAGAUAUCAGGAGGAACACCGGUGGCGAAGGCGGCUUUCUGGUCCUUAACUGACGCUGAGGCGCGAAAGCAUGGGGAGCGAACGGG